AGAGUUUGAUCCUGGCUCAGGAUGAACGCUGGCGGCGUGCCUAAUACAUGCAAGUCGAGCGAACAGAUAAGGAGCUUGCUCCUUUGAAGUUAGCGGCGGACGGGUGAGUAACACGUGGGUAACCUACCUAUAAGACUGGGAUAACUUCGGGAAACCGGAGCUAAUACCGGAUAACAUUUAGAACCGCAUGGUUCUAAAGUGAAAGAUGGUUUUGCUAUCACUUAUAGAUGGACCCGCGCCGUAUUAGCUAGUUGGUAAGGUAACGGCUUACCAAGGCGACGAUACGUAGCCGACCUGAGAGGGUGAUCGGCCACACUGGAACUGAGACACGGUCCAGACUCCUACGGGAGGCAGCAGUAGGGAAUCUUCCGCAAUGGGCGAAAGCCUGACGGGGCAACGCCGCGUGAGUGAUGAAGGGUUUCGGCUCGUAAAACUCUGUUAUUAGGGAAGAACAAAUGUGUAAGUAACUGUGCACAUCUUGACGGUACCUAAUCAGAAAGCCACGGCUAACUACGUG
rnacentral:rRNA from 1 species